rnacentral:rRNA from 1 species
GCUGGCGGCGUGCCUAAUACAUGCAAGUCGAGCGAACAGAUAAGGAGCUUGCUCCUUUGACGUUAGCGGCGGACGGGUGAGUAACACGUGGGUAACCUACCUAUAAGACUGGGAUAACUUCGGGAAACCGGAGCUAAUACCGGAUAAUAUUUCGAACCGCAUGGUUCGAUAGUGAAAGAUGGUUUUGCUAUCACUUAUAGAUGGACCCGCGCCGUAUUAGCUAGUUGGUAAGGUAACGGCUUACCAAGGCGACGAUACGUAGCCGACCUGAGAGGGUGAUCGGCCACACUGGAACUGAGACACGGUCCAGACUCCUACGGGAGGCAGCAGUAGGGAAUCUUCCGCAAUGGGCGAAAGCCUGACGGAGCAACGCCGCGUGAGUGAUGAAGGUCUUCGGAUCGUAAAACUCUGUUAUU